rnacentral:rRNA from 1 species
GACAGAGGGUGCAAGCGUUAAUCGGAAUUACUGGGCGUAAAGCGUGCGUAGACGGUUAUUUAAGUCAGGUGUGAAAGCCCCGGGCUCAACCUGGGAAUUGCAUUUGAGACUGAAUAGCUAGGGUGCGGAAGAGGGAAGCGGAAUUUCCGGUGUAGCGGUGAAAUGCGUAGAUAUCGAGAGGAACACCUGCGGCGAAGGCGGGUUGCUGGGCUGAUACCGACGCUGAGGCGCGAAAGCUAGGGGAGCGAACGGG